AUGAUGCCUCUAUUUGACGUGCAAAAACAAACAAAACCAUCAGAGAGACAAUUUAUUUUUUCUUCAUUAUUAGGUGUUGGACGAAGUGACCGAAUGCACAUCAAAAAUUCAUCACUGUGACUGAUUCACUGUUUUUGACUUUGAAAAGACCAAAGGAUGACGAUUUUUGUAAAGAGACUAACAAGCAAGACCAAGUCACAAGACAAAACCAACAAAGAAAAAUGAUGUACUACUUGGUG